UGGCUGCUCUUGCAUAUGUGUAUCCCAUUCCCCAGAACAGUCAUCAGAUUGUUUCUCAAUCGGCUGCUGCUCGGAUGUUGUAGCAUCAUCUUCCUCAUGUUCUACAUCUGCAUCAUGUCCUUUUCUUCCUCGCCCUUGACCUUGUUUUGGUUCCUUCGUCUGUAUGAUAGA
rnacentral:sRNA from 1 species